rnacentral:rRNA from 1 species
AUGAACGCUGGCGGCGUGCCUAAUACAUGCAAGUCGAGCGAACAGAUGAGGAGCUUGCUCCUCUGACGUUAGCGGCGGACGGGUGAGUAACACGUGGAUAACCUACCUAUAAGACUGGGAUAACUCCGGGAAACCGGAGCUAAUACCGGAUAAUAUAUUGAACCGCAUGGUUCAAUAGUGAAAGACGGUUUUGCUGUCACUUAUAGAUGGAUCCGCGCCGCAUUAGCUAGUUGGUAAGGUAACGGCUUACCAAGGCGACGAUGCGUAGCCGACCUGAGAGGGGGAUCGGCCACACUGGAACUGAGACACGGUCCAGACUCCUACGGGAGGCAGCAGUAGGGAAUCUUCCGCAAUGGGCGAAAGCCUGACGGAGCAACGCCGCGUGAGUGAUGAAGGUCUUCGGAUCGUAAAACUCUGUUAUUAGGGAAGAACAAAUGUGUAAGUAACUAUGCACGUCUUGACGGUACCUAAUCAGAAAGCCACGGCUAACUACGUG